rnacentral:rRNA from 1 species
GGGGAGGGGGUUGGGAGCUCCGAGAAAGGGGAAGGGGGUUGGGAUCGGCGGCGUGCGUCGUCGGUACCGCCUGGCGUGGAAGUCGCGGCCGUCGACGGCGAGCAGGUACGACACUUCGGUAGGGGCGGGACGAGCGGAGGCAGGCGGCGGCAGCGCCUGGUAGAGGAGGCAGGGGCUGGUGUGUAGGGGCGGGAGCAGACGGCGGUAGUGGCUGGCCGAGGAGGCAGGGGUUGUUCAGUAGGGGCAGGACGAGCGGCAGAAGGCGGCUUCUUGGGCCGCCGACACAGCUAAGAGACGGAGGGGCUGGUGGAGAAGGCUAAAACGCUUCCAUUACGAACAACCUUAACCUCAGAAACAAUAGUAAGAACCAGUUCUAAAACGUGUAUCAACCUACGACCAGUAAAAUCCGCACCUGUGUGUACCGGUGGAUGGCGGGUAGCGGCCCGUGGCUCGAACAACAGGGCAGUACGUAGAGCUACCACACGGAGAGUUAAAUCGGAUCCUCUUUUAGUUUACCAAUUUAUACCCAAUAGUCGAGUUCACGCGUCUAAUCUUCAAGCCGGUACAAAAACGGUAACAGCCCUACGACCAGUAAAAUCCGUACCUGCGUGUACCGGUGUACGGCGGGUAGCGGUCCUCGGCUCGAACAGCAGGGCAGCACGUAGAGCUACCACACGGCGAGUUAAAUCGGAGCCAUUAAGGUACAGAUGACCACUGCGAGCGCGACCUUUGGUCUCCACCGUAGAACCAGAAGAGGUACGCUUGUGGUGUAGAGGCUGCCACGUCGGUACCGUGCUCCCGCGGCUCGACUAGAGGGUUCCGAGGAGCGGCUGCGUACUGUUACGGGUGGAGGUACGACUAACUCGAAAAGGUGAACAGGUUGUACUAGUUAAUAGACAAUAUCUUAAAUACGAUAGUCAACAAACAUCAACACGAGACUUAUCUACAGGGGACGAACAUUAUCUAUUAGUGUGAAACGAUAUUAUGUAACUUCUCGGUCACGAAGAUACGUCGUUGGGGUGUGUUUAACAUUUGUUCUUAUACUUUCCGUGCACAUGGUUGGACCGUGGCGGGGUUAGUGGAGAGUCCACCGCGGUAUCCCACCGCGGUUACUUCCGAGCGAACGGUUCCCGACCACCAAUUUCAGAGAAAAUAACCACGCCAUCACCACUCGCGUUACGUACCACGUCAUCGGACCUCUCCGCAGGUUUCGCCGAAUCCUUCCCUGCGUGGACACUGGUGUGGACACUUCGCUGUUACUUGUACCGAUUACGGUUGUGAGGUACCGACGUUAACUCCUUCUCUCUCGUUUCUGGGUCCUCGAAGACCGCCUGCUUUCCUCCGUCCGCCGCCUCUCCCUCUCCCUCUAACUCCUCUCCCGCCGAUCCGAAAACGACCUCCUCUCCUUGGCCUUGCUGAACCGAUUGGCCCGGUAUAUGGUCGAGAAGCGCAGGUACACGCUCUUCUUGUCAGUCUGGGGAGGCGGCUACGGUCAGUAACGAGGCCGCCUGUGCGUAUUGAGGGCUGUUCGUAGCUGCAGACGGUAACCGCGCUCGUUCUUGGGGCUAGGAGGAGGCAGACGGUGAUGGCGCUCGUUCUUGGAGCUAGGAAGUGGAUGGCCAACUGCUAAACGAAGUCUAGUGCCUUCGAACCCAACUACCUCACGAACAGAAAUCAAAAACAAAACUGAAACACUUUGAACGAUGGAUGCUACUUUGACACAUUAUAACUAUUUUGAUACAUAUACAUACCUACUUUGAACGAUGAUAACCAUUGUACACAACCUAUACACAACCUAUAUAAACGCAAGUACGGAUAACCAUUAUACACA